rnacentral:rRNA from 1 species
GACGUAGGGGGCCAGCGUUGCUCGGAAUUACUGGGUGUAAAGGGUUCGUAGGCGGUGUGGCAAGUCGGGAGUGAAAUCUCUGGGCUCAACUCAGGGGCUGCUUCCGAAACUGCCGUGCUAGAGUGUGGGAGAGGCGCGUGGAAUUGCAGGUGUAGCGGUGAAAUGCGUAGAUAUCUGCAGGAACACCCGUGGCGAAAGCGGCGCGCUGGACCACUACUGACGCUGAGGAACGAAAGCUAGGGGAGCAAACAGG